rnacentral:misc_RNA from 1 species
AAGUCGUAACAAGGUUUCCGUAGGUGAACCUGCGGAAGGAUCAUUAACAGAUUUUCUGCCCGUCAGAUAUCUUAUCAUGUGUGAACUGUUUCCUUCGCUUUGGUGCCCUUGGGUUUUUGUUCAGCGGUGUUUUCGGGCAUCACUGGGCAAACGAUCCUAGGCAUCAUAUUUUUACCCUACUGCUUAUUAUCAUUACUGAAGUAAAACCAAAAGACUAGAAAACUUUUAGCAAUGGAUCUCUAGGCUCUU